rnacentral:rRNA from 1 species
UACGAAGGGUGCAAACGUUGCUCGGAAUUAUUGGGCGUAAAGCGCACGUAGGCGGCUUGUUAAGUCAGGGGUGAAAUCCCGGGGCUCAACCCCGGAACUGCCUUUGAUACUGGGUAUCUCGAGUCCGAGAGAGGUGAGUGGAAUUCCGAGUGUAGAGGUGAAAUUCGUAGAUAUUCGGAGGAACACCAGUGGCGAAGGCGGCUCACUGGCUCGGUACUGACGCUGAGGUGCGAAAGCGUGGGGAGCAAACAGG